AGAGUUUGAUCCUGGCUCAGGACGAACGCUGGCGGUGUGCUUAACACAUGCAAGUCGAACGGUAAGGCCCUUUCGGGGGUACACGAGUGGCGAACGGGUGAGUAACACGUGAGUAACCUGCCCUCAUCUCUGGGAUAACAGUCGGAAACGGUUGCUAAUACUGGAUAUGAGCUUGCAAGGCAUCUUGUGGGUUGGAAAGAUAUUUUUUGGUUGGGGAUGGACUCGCGGCCUAUCAGCUUGUUGGUGAGGUAGUGGCUCACCAAGGCUUCGACGGGUAGCCGGCCUGAGAGGGCGACCGGCCACAUUGGGACUGAGAUACGGCCCAGACUCCUACGGGAGGCAGCAGUGGGGAAUAUUGCACAAUGGGCGGAAGUCUGAUGCAGCAACGCCGCGUGCGGGAUGACGGCCUUCGGGUUGUAAACCGCUUUCAAUUGUGACGAAGCUUUUUGUGACGGUAGCAGUAGAAGAAGCACCGGCUAACUACGUGCCAGCAGCCGCGGUGAUACGUAGGGUGCGAGCGUUGUCCGGAUUUAUUGGGCGUAAAGAGCUUGUAGGUGGUUUGUCGCGUCGGGAGUGAAAACUCAGGGCUUAACUCUGAGCUUGCUUUCGAUACGGGCUGACUUGAGGGAGGUAGGGGAGAAUGGAAUUCCUGGUGGAGCGGUGGAAUGCGCAGAUAUCAGGAGGAACACCGGUGGCGAAGGCGGUUCUCUGGACCUUUCCUGACGCUGAGAAGCGAAAGCGUGGGGAGCGAACAGGCUUAGAUACCCUGGUAGUCCACGCUGUAAACGGUGGGUACUAGGUGUGGGGGACAUUCCACGUUCUCCGUGCCGUAGCUAACGCAUUAAGUACCCCGCCUGGGGAGUACGGCCGCAAGGCUAAAACUCAAAGGAAUUGACGGGGCCCCGCACAAGCGGCGGAGCAUGCGGAUUAAUUCGAUGCAACGCGAAGAACCUUA
rnacentral:rRNA from 1 species